AUGCCUCAAUCCCACGCACUCGAGAUCCAAAUCGUAAAGCAAAAAAAGCAAAUCUUACGAGUUUGCUUUGGCUCCAUCCACCGCAACCGCCGCGUUCUCCUCAGCGGCGGCGGCAGCCGCAUCCGCCUCGAUCUGCUUCUUGUUGCGCUCGAUCGCCUCGCCGACCUCCUUGGGCAUGUACUUCUCGUCGUGCUUGGCGAGCACCUCCGUGCCACGCAAGAAGCACUGGCCCUCCAGCGCCUUAUCGGAGACCUUUCUCCCCGCCCAGUCGCGGCGGAGAUCGUCCGUGAGUGGCUUGAGGAACCCCUCGACGACGACGGAGUGGCCCUCGCGGAAGAGGUCGGGGAGGGCGCCCUCGUAGCGGACGAGGACGUCGGUGACGAGGUCGGUGACGACGAACUCGAUCUCGGAGGAGGAGGAGGAGGGGUGGGCGACGGAGCCCUCGAGGACGAGCCCGCCGAGGCGGCAGCGGGUCUUGGAGGGGUCGGUGGCGAAGCGCGCGAGCGCGUCGGUGGGGGUGAGGUAGAAGACGAGCUGGUCCUGGAACGUGGCGAGCACGGUGACCACGAACCCGGCCGCGCAGCCGAAGGUGAGCGCGUAGGUCCAGAGGCGCCGGCUCUGCAGCUGCCGCGCCCGCGCGCCGAUGUCCGCCGCGCGCUGCCGCGGGGCGCCCGGCCCGGCCCGCCUCGUCGCGGAGAAGAAGCGCGCGGGCUGGAGGGUUUGGGCGAACGGGGAGGUGGUUGCGGCGGCGGGGCCGGUGGCGCGCGCGGCGGGGAUCGGGGUCGGGGUGUGGAGGAAGGCGGAGAGGAGGCGGCGGGAGGGGAGAAGGCGCGAGAAGGCCAUGGGGACGGUGGGAUCUGGGAGGUGCGGGGCCGAGGGAAUGGGGAAAAGGCGUGUGUGCGCGGUGCGCUCGCCCUUGCCUCCGGAUGGGUGGUCGGUCGGCCGCUGAUCUUCUUGCUGCGCACGGCACGCCGGUGCGGCGAGGUCAAAGUGGGCUGCGCCGUUCUUGCGAAUGGACCCCCGAGGUCCGCGGGAGCGCGGAAACACCGUGGAUUUCUGGCCCAGGAAAGUGUGUGGAAAUCGUCGUAA
rnacentral:rRNA from 1 species